UCGAUAAAAAAAAAUCCCAAAACUUUCCAAAAAAGUAUUUCACCGACCAAUUAUGUAGUCGAUAUUUUUAAAAAAAAUAAUAAAAGUGAUUACCGACUACUAAAUUAGUCGGAAAUGACAAAGAAUACCGACUAAUUUAGUAGUCGGUGUGUUUUUUAAUUAAAAACAGUUGGUGCUUUGGGCUUUCACGCAUAAGACCUAACCCUACUCCUUCUCUCUCUCUUCAUUUCAGCCGUUUUCCCCCUAACUCUACUCCUUCUCUCUCUCUUCAUUUUAGCCGUUCUCUCUCCCUCUCCAUUCUCUCUCCUCCCUCUUCAUCUCCUAUCUCCUUUCUAAGAAUGAGGAAUUGAUCUCUCAUUCCUCUCUUCUUCAUCAUCAUCCUCGUAGAUGAUCAUCACCAUCACCAUCACCGUAGAUAAUAUUCAUCGUCACCAAUCUCCUUCAUCAUCAACCUCCUUCAUCACCAUCAACUCCGACUUCAUCAUCGAUCUCCUUCAUCAUCGACAAAAAUUGGUGAUAGAAGAUCUCAAGCAAAUCUUUGAAGUGAGGAGCUCCAACAAAAUAUUGUCUUAUAAUUUUUGUUUUAGAUUAGAUUAGUAUUAUAAUUUUUUUGACUCUAUUAGAUCUAAGUUGUUGGUACAAAUAUUGUUAUUUUUGUAAUAACUCUUGAUGAUAUAAGUUUGGGUUUUAUUUUC